AUUCUUCGUGAAAUGCAGUGUCGUAGCGAAGGUGAUAAGCUCACCGCCUGGGAAGUAUGGUCGCAAGACUGAAACUUAAAGGAAUUGGCGGGGGAGCACAACAAGGGGUGCGGCGUGCGGUUUAAUCUAACUCCACACAGAGAAUCUCACCAGGAGCGACGGCAGGAUGAAGGUCAGUCUGAAGGGCUUACCUGACGAGCCGAGAGGUAGUGCAUGGCCGCCGUCAGCUCGUGCCGUAAGGUGUCCUGUUAAGUCAGACAACGAGCGAGACCUGUAUCUACAAUUGCUAACGACUAAAUUUUAGAAUCGAGCACAUUGUAGGGACUGCCUUGGAAACAAGGAGGAAGGUGCAGGCAACGGUAGGUCUGUAUGCUCCGAAUCUUCUGGGCUACACGCGCGCAACAAUGGUACAGACAAUGGGUCGCAACUCCGAAAGGAGAAGCUAAACCUCGAGACUGUAUCUAAGUCCAGAUUGAGGGCUGUAAUUCGCCCUCAUGACGCUGGAAUCCCUAGUAAUCGGGCGUCAUCAGCACCCGGUGAAUAUGUCCCUGCUCCUUGCACACACCGCCCGUCAAACCACCCGAGUAGGGUCUAGAUGAGGCUAAGUUUUUAACUCAGUCGAAUCUAAGCUUUGCGAGGAGGGUUAAGUCGUAACAAGGUAGCC
rnacentral:rRNA from 1 species